AUGUUACUCCUCCAGACACUCCACUGGCUUCCAGUCGAAACUCACAUCCACUACAACACCAUCGUGCUUACCUACGGAGCAGCAAGAGGACCCAUCACUCCCUACCUUCAGGCUCUGCUCAAACCCUACACCCUCUAUACAGAGCAGUGGAGAUCACUCCCCUCUAUACAGAGCAGUGGAGAUCACUCCCCUCUAUACAGAGCAGUGGAGAUCCCUCCCCUCUAUACAGAGCAGUGGAGAUCCCUCCCCUCUAUACAGAGCAGUGGAGAUCCCUCCCCUCUAUACAGAGCAGUGGAGAUCCCUCCCCUCUAUACAGAGCAGUGGAGAUCCCUCCCCUCUAUACAGAGCAGUGGAGAUCACUCCCCUCUAUACAGAGCAGUGGAGAUCCCUCCCCUCUAUACAGAGCAGUGGAGAUCCCUCCCCUCUAUAGAGAGCAGUGGAGAUCCCUCCCCUCUAUACAGAGCAGUGGAGAUCCCUCCCCUCUAUACAGAGCAGUGGAGAUCACCCCCCUCUAUACAGAGCAGUGGAGAUCACCCCCCUCUAUACAGAGCAGUGGAGAUCACCCCCCCUCUAUACAGAGCAGUGGAGAUCACCCCCCCUCUAUACAGAGCAGUGGAGAUCACUCCCCUCUAUACAGAGCAGUGGAGAUCACUCCCCUCUAUACAGAGCAGUGGAGAUCACUCCCCUCUAUACAGAGCAGUGGAGAUCACCCCCCUCUAUACAGAGCAGUGGAGAUCACCCCCCCUCUAUACAGAGCAGUGGAGAUCACCCCCCUCUAUACAGAGCAGUGUAAACCCUCAGAGAUCACUCCCCUCUAUACAGAGCAGUGGAGAUCACCCCCCUCUAUACAGAGCAGUGGAGAUCACCCCCCUCUAUACAGAGCAGUGGAGAUCACUCCCCUAUAUACAGAGCAGUGGAGAUCACUCCCCUCUAUACAGAGCAGUGGAGAUCACCCCCCUCUAUACAGAGCAGUGGAGAUCACCCCCUCUAUACAGAGCAGUGGAGAUCACCCCCCUCUAUACAGAGCAGUGUAAACCCUCAGAGAUCACUCCCCUCUAUACAGAGCAGUGGAGAUCACCCCCCUCUAUACAGAGCAGUGGAGAUCACCCCCCUCUAUACAGAGCAGUGGAGAUCACUCCCCUCUAUACAGAGCAGUGGAGAUCACUCCCCUCUAUACAGAGCAGUGGAGAUCACCCCCCUCUAUACAGAGCAGUGUAA
rnacentral:lncRNA from 8 species